GCCUGGGUGGCUCAGUCGGUUAAGCGUCUGACUUCGGCUCAGUUCGUGGGUUCCAGCCCCGCGUCAGGCU
rnacentral:tRNA from 1 species